rnacentral:rRNA from 1 species
CGGAGGGUGCAAGCGUUAUCCGGAAUCACUGGGUUUAAAGGGUGCGUAGGCGGUGGCGUAAGUCAGUUGUGAAAUUCCCCGGCUUAACCGGCGGGACUGCGAUUGAUACUGCGUCACUUGAAUCAGGAUGAGGUAGGCGGAAUGUGACAUGUAGCGGUGAAAUGCUUAGAUAUGUCAUAGAACACCGAUUGCGAAGGCAGCUUGCUGGACCUGUAUUGACGCUGAGGCACGAAAGCGUGGGAGCAAACAGGAUU